rnacentral:rRNA from 1 species
UACGGGGGGGGCAAGCGUUGUUCGGAAUUACUGGGCGUAAAGGGCUCGUAGGUGGCCAACUAAGUCAGACGUGAAAUCCCUCGGCUUAACCGGGGAACUGCGUCUGAUACUGGAUGGCUUGAGUUCGGGAGAGGGAUGCGGAAUUCCAGGUGUAGCGGUGAAAUGCGUAGAUAUCUGGAGGAACACCGGUGGCGAAGGCGGCAUCCUGGACCGGCAUUGACGCUGAUGAGCGAAAGCCAGGGGAGCAAACGGG